AUGGAGGACUGGAUCGUUCUCAGCAACAGCGACGGGGAUAGCGUGGAGGUCCACGACGGCAGCGAGAGCAGCUUCGCGGUGGUGCACGAGAACGCCGAGAUAUCUGACGCGGCACAGAGCAACUAUGGCCACGUCGAGUCCAAGAUCACCGCCGCCAAGGAUGACAUUGACAUUGAAUGCUUUGAUGAGGAGGACGGAAUCUGCGAGGAGAACCCCGAUGAUGAAAUCUUCAACGACCAGAAGGAAAUCGACUGCGAGGAAGAAUUGGAUGAUGAUGAUGAUGAGAGCCUCGACGAUGAUGACAUUGAACGCUAUGAUGCAGAGGAUAUAAUCUGCGAGGAGAACCCGGACGAUGAAAUCAUCUAGAGAGACGAUUGGUGCCGUCGUCCUGCAUAA
rnacentral:lncRNA from 1 species